rnacentral:lncRNA from 1 species
UCCUAUAUGGAUACAAUAAACCCCUGCAUGGACCUGUGCAUCCGCCGCAUCGGAGCGAGACGAUGGGAACGCUUUUAAAUAGAUUUUCCCUUGAAUGAUUAGAGGGAUUUAGAUAUCCAGAGCCCACAAAUCAAGGUUCAAAUGCGUGAGGGGUUUUCUUGUGUUACUUGUAGACGGAUGUAUGCGGUACCAUACCAGUACAACGACCGCAGCUAUUUGGCUUUGGAUCAUAUUUGUUCCCACAUGUUGGUUGGUUGUUCACCCGGUUUGACUUUCAUUCACCAGAAUUGUGUCGCUUGUUCUCGCCGCAUUACGUCUCUGAGGGUCACGCAUCCUUCAUUGGUCAGUGCGGAAAAAGAUGAUACUUGUGAUCUGCGUUGGGGUUUUCUUAAAAAGGAAGGGAUAAUGCCUCAUAGUAUAGAU